rfam:Zootermopsis nevadensis contig5136, whole genome shotgun sequence.
GUCACGGUGGUCUAGCGGUUAGAACGCUGGCCUUGUAAUCCUGGGGUCUCGGGUUCGAUUCCCGGCGGUGCCU